UAAAAUACAGUUAAAAGAUACCAUAAUAUGUGUAUAAAUUUUUAGAUCAAUAAAUUCAAAAGUUUUCUCAGAAAAAAUUCUGGAAAAUUCACUUUUUUUCGGCCGUCUAACUGUAUAUAACCCCUUAAAGCAUUAAUGCUGUGUAAUAGUGAAAAAAGGACGGAAAUUUAAUACUAAGCGAGAGUCUUAGAGCUUCUGGUUUCAGUUCUGUUAGCCAAAUAGGAAUCCCACGAAUGUAUAGUCAUUUAUUGCUGACAAGUAAACUUUUUAAUAUUAUUCUUCGAUCAGUAAUAAGCUGAGAUCGAAAGCCAUUCACACCAGUUGUAAUUUGAAAUUCCUUCAGUACUACUACGAGCUAUGCGCCAAAAUGUAGGCAAUAAAAUGGUUCAACAUGAACUUUUACUGGUUUGGUGCAAAAAAAAACAUGAAUAUUUGUGAUGGAGAAGAACAAUAAAGAAUGUUGCCUAUAUUAAGACGUCAAAAAUUUUAUAAAUUUUAUAUUUAUAAUCUAAUGAUAUGCUAAUAUAAAAAUUGCGAAAAACUACAACAAAAUUUUCCACCUGAGUUUAAUAAUAAAAAAAAUUUAUCCGCUGAAAUGUGCAGACCGCAUACAAAAUUAAAGCGAAACUUCUGCUCGUCGUCAGAACAACUUAACUCUUGACAUAGUAAAUUCAUAGGAACCCACUAAAACUAACACUCUACUAUGCCUCGCAUCAGUGUAAGGAAAGAUAUAUUUGCUAUAAGCCCAGUAUCCCCACUCAUUUCCUUGGCUGAAGAAAAUAAACCAACAUCGGAAGAAAGAAAUACUAAGAGCAAAUCAAAUCCCACAUAUAUAAAUCCCUAUGGGAGACACUUCGAAGUGACGAAGUCAAACGAAUUCAAGUCAUUACGCAACUUCGGACUCUGGUAUAAACCACCAGAAGACGAUGAAUCAGUGCUUGACAAUUUAACGCCACCAAAUGUGCGACAGUUAGAGCUGUAUAACACGUCAUUAAUCGCGGAAAGCGCAACACCUGCCGAAGACUGUGUGACGACGACCGAUGUAUUUGUGGAGGAAGCUAGGCAAAAUGAGAUAUCCGCCGAGGAAUGCGUGGUAGAUAUACAGAAAUGUGUGACAGCAGUCGCUGAAGACGUGUCACAAGCGAAGGGCCAAGAUUAUUCGGAAAUAGUAAAAAUACCAGAAAAAAUAAUAAUCGGACCUAAUGGUACGAGUAUAUCUUUGGCCGAAUAUAAAAGUAUCGAGUGGGAUGCAGUGUCGUAUACGAUACGUGAUCUCUUGUUGUACGUUUUCGAUCGAAAUACGCUCCUAACAAAUACGCUCUACGGCAGACCAUCCAAAAAGGGUAAACUAGAUCCUCGCAAGGUGGCCGAUAUAAGCUAUUUCGUAAGGCAGAAUGUAAAAUGUAGCGAAGGGGAAGUGCGCAGAGCCAUCGUUCAGAGGCUGGGUAUGUUCCAUAACAGAGAGCGAGAAAAAGAGAGAACUAAACGGCGAAAGUUGUUCAUUUAGCUUAUAUUGUGGUUUACAUAAAAUUGUAUAUAUGUUUUAAUGUCAAAUUUUUAAUUUAGUUCCACACAAUAUAUAUUUACCCCUAUAACAAUACUCAUAGUAAGUAUUUGUGACUUCAAGUCUUAUGUCAGUUCUAUAAGUCUGUUUCAGUUAAUGUCUGUCCGUCUGUGUUUCUCUUAUGAAAUGGCUUCUCAUUAAAUCCAUAUUUCCCUAAGGAGGUUAUAAUGCAUAAUAUUGAUAUAGCGUAAUCUAUAACAUAACUGUAUUUUUAACUCUUGCAGUCUCUACAGUUUCAUCUCUAUCAAUUAGUCAUGUGGGUCAACGAACCUUACAUUCUAUAUGUAUAUUUGAUGGUUCAUAUGAUGGUCCAAUAUUAUUUAUGCAAAAUUAUAAAAAAAACCAAGUUUUUCAUACCUGUAGGCAGGUCUAAGCAACAUUGGCCUCAACAUGUUUUCUGUAAUGAAUAUUUUCAGUACCAUAAAGCAUUACCUACAAUAAGGCGCGUUGUUAAAUUAAAAUAGUUUUAAAGUAUAAUCUAUAUUACUCCAUUUCUUGUUGCCGAAAAUGGUUGAACUAUCUUUGUCCAGCCCUUAUGCAACUAUUAUAAGCUUUUACUAAUACCUAAAAAUCGUUUAGCCUUACAAAUUACAUGACUUUUAUGCUUUAUAUUCAAGAGAAAAAUAUAAAAAUAAUAAUACGAAUUUUCUGGUAAUAAACUUUUUUUCUAGAAACUUCAAAAAUGCUCAAUCACACACAAAAUUAUUUUACUCCAAUCAAAAAAAAAAAGUGAGAAACACAAAAGGUACAUCAACCACUACCUGAGCGCCAAAAGAGAGAACACGUCUUAGCUCAUAAAUAGCAUACUCUCACUCAACAUAAGCCUACAUUAAUUAUAUACAGAGUUGCCACUUAAUUUUUUUUUACACCUAUAAAUUAUUUUCUAAAAAUAUACAUUAGCAUUUUCCAACAAAAUCAGAUUAUAUUUUGAAGCAAUUUUUAUAUUUACUCUUCGCAGUUAUAUUUAGUGUUCCACAGUUAAUAGAUUUCUCUUCACUGAAAAUUUUAAAAUUAUUUCGCAUAUUUUGGCAAUCUAACUUUAGAAUUUGGUUUUAAGAAAUGCUGCUUAUCAUUUCAGUUAUAAAAAUCAUACAGAAGUGGCAACGCUUAGUUAUUCCCAACUCAGAGAGCGCUGAGCAAUUUUUUCCACAAAUAUUGAAAGACCGAGCAGAGUAAGUGCAGUUAGUCAAUUUCGGCCAUUUAAUGUGAAAGGAAGUGUUGUGCGGGAUAUUGUACGUUAAGACAUUGUUGUUGAUAAACAAACUCAGAAGACGUGUGUGAAAAAAACACUUUUUGUACGUAUAAUGUUGUGUAGCGCAAGGUCGGAUCUUGAAAAACAUCCAAGUACUUGCGAAUGCAAAAUAUGGAAAGAAAAAAUCAAAUAUAAAGUGAAAACGCACAUAUUUGAAGAGGAUCUCCUACCCGGUUGUCCAGUGAGAGAAAAUCUACCAAGUAGACAUCAGCAUCUAUUUUACAAGGGAGAUGAAACGAAUACAAAUGAAAGGAACACCAAUGAAAGGUCUACCAAUGAAACGAACACCAAUGCAACUAACACCAACGCUCCAGAGGGCUCAUGGGAACACGAAAGAACUGUGCAAUACAACAAAGCCGAAGAGCAGCGUAAAAAAGAUGAAAGAACCUUUCUAUAUAUUGGACCAAAUGGCACAAUCAUAUCCAAGUUAGAAUUCCAUACAAUACAUUGGGAUUCUGUCGGAGCUGCCACACGCUCACUCUUGACAAUAUUAUUCGAUAAUAACGUACUGGCCACACACACACUGAGCGGCAAACUAUCGACGGUAUCUCAAGGUAAACUAAAGCUACCACUGUGCCCCAAAACAGUCGCCGAUAUCAUAUAUUUUGUGACCAAACGCUUCAAUUGCCAUGAAUGCAAAGUUCGUACUGCGAUCACGGCAAAAUGUGCCGGCGUCGCUCAGGCACAACAACGUUCGAAAUUGUUGAAGAAUUAUUUGUCCAAUUCUUGAAUCUUAAAUACUUUUUUGGAAUUAAAUUUGACUUAACAUAACAUGCUCAAUAAAGCUGUGUGUUCACUAUGCAUAUAAA